AGAGUUUGAUCCUGGCUCAGAAUCAACGCUGGCGGCGUGCCUCAGACAUGCAAGUCGAACGAUUAAAGCUCUCUUCGGAGAGUGCAUAGAGUGGCGCACGGGUGAGUAACACGUAAGUAAUCUACCCUCGAGUGGGGAAUAACGUUCGGAAACGGACGCUAAUACCGCAUAAUGCAGCGGCACCGCAAGGUGACAGUUGUUAAAGAUUUAUCGCUUGAGGAGGAGCUUGCGGCAGAUUAGCUAGUUGGUAAGGUAAUGGCUUACCAAGGCUACGAUCUGUAACCGGUCUUAGAGGACGGUCGGUCACACUGACACUGAAUAACGGGUCAGACUCCUACGGGAGGCAGCAGUCGGGAAUUUUGGGCAAUGGGCGAAAGCCUGACCCAGCAACGCCGCGUGAAGGAUGAAGUAUUUCGGUAUGUAAACUUCGAAAGAAUAGGAAGAAUCAAUGACGGUACUAUUUAUAAGGUCCGGCUAACUACGUGCCAGCAGCCGCGGUAAUACGUAGGGACCAAGCGUUGUUCGGAUUUACUGGGCGUAAAGGGCGCGUAGGCGGCGCGGUAAGUCACUUGUGAAAUCUCUGAGCUUAACUCAGAACGGCCAAGUGAUACUGCAGUGCUAGAGUGUGGAAGGGGCAAUCGGAAUUCUUGGUGUAGCGGUGAAAUGCGUAGAUAUCAAGAGGAACACCUGAGGUGAAGACGGGUUGCUGGGCCAACACUGACGCUGAGGCGCGAAAGCCAGGGGAGCAAACGGGAUUAGAUACCCCGGCAGUCCUGGCCCUAAACGAUGAAUACUUGGUG
rnacentral:rRNA from 1 species